GACGAACGCUGGCGGCGUGCUUAACACAUGCAAGUCGAACGGAAAGGCCCUGCUUUUGUGGGGUGCUCGAGUGGCGAACGGGUGAGUAACACGUGAGUAACCUGCCCUUGACUUUGGGAUAACUUCAGGAAACUGGGGCUAAUACCGGAUAGGAUCUCCUGCUGCAUGGUGGGGGUUGGAAAGUUUCGGCGGUUGGGGAUGGACUCGCGGCUUAUCAGCUUGUUGGUGGGGUAGUGGCUUACCAAGGCUUUGACGGGUAGCCGGCCUGAGAGGGUGACAGGCCACAUUGGGACUGAGAUACGGCACAGACUCCUACUGGAGGCAGCAGUGGGGAAUAUUGAAGAAUGGGCGGAAGCCUGAUGCAGAAACGCCGCGUGCGGGAUGACGGCCUUCGGGUUGUAAACCGCUUUCGCAUGUGACGAAGCGUGAGUGACGGUAAUGGGUAAAGAAGCACCGGCUAACUACGUG
rnacentral:rRNA from 1 species